AAGACUAUAGACCUGCGGAGUACCUGCGGAAGGAUCAUUACAGGACUCGCAAGACUCCUACAACCCUGUGAACUUAACUAUAAGCACGUUGCUUCGGCGGGUGUCUCGGCGAGGGUUCUCCCUCCCCGGGGCGCUAAGCCCGCCGGCAGCCUACUAUACUCUGUCUCUUUGCGUUGGCAUCUCGAGUACAAACAAACAAGUUAAAACUUUUAGCAACGGAUCUCUAGAUCGGAAGAGCAC
rnacentral:misc_RNA from 1 species